CCUACGGGCGGCAGCAGUCGAGAAUUAUUCACAAUGGGGGAAACCCUGAUGGUGCGACGCCGCGUGGGGGAAUGAAGGUCUUCGGAUUGUAAACCCCUGUCAUGUGGGAGCAAAUUAAAAAGAUAGUACCACAAGAGGAAGAGACGGCUAACUCUGUGCCAGCAGCCGCGGUAAUACAGAGGUCUCAAGCGUUGUUCGGAAUCACUGGGCGUAAAGCGUGCGUAGGCUGUUUCGUAAGUCGUGUGUGAAAGGCGCGGGCUCAACCCGCGGACGGAACAUGAUACUGCGAGACUAGAGUGAUGGAGGGGGAACCGGAAUUCUCGGUGUAGCAGUGAAAUGCGUAGAUAUCGAGAGGAACACUCGUGGCGAAGGCGGGUUCCUGGACAUUAACUGACGCUGAGGCACGAAGGCCAGGGGAGCGAAAGGGAUUAGAUACCCGGGUAGUC
rnacentral:rRNA from 1 species